CCAACUUAAGGUGUUUUGCUGUCGACCGUCAUAGAUAUAUACCUUGUGCAGUUUUCUUACAAAUCCAGUAUGAAGUUGACUUUCCUCUGUAUCUCCAGUCUCGUGUUGUCUUUCAUCAUGACCGCCACUGGACAAAGUCAGCCUGUCGCAACAACAACGGGUGUCGCUGCUCCACUAAAUCCAACAUGGACCGGAAGUAACAUGUGGAACGCAAAUCCAACAUGGACCGGAAGUAACAUGUGGAACGCAAAUCCAACAUGGACCGGAAGUACAGCAUGGAAUGGAAAUCAAAUGUCGGGCAGACCUCUUUACAAUCCCUCCUUCCCAGGUGGUCUUCGGGGCCAGACUGUCUACUGCUAUCCGAUGAACCCGCCAUUGUAUCGGUCGUUCGUGCCGGUUCCCUUUGGUCCCGUUCAGGAGAUCGGUACUGUUAUUGGGGGCUCCUGGGAACCUAUAGGCAAGAAAAAAUAGAUACAAGGUGGAUGAGUGAUCUACAUCCUUACCGUUCUUUCCUUCGUCACGCCGUAUUCCUGACCAUCAUCAUACAGACAUGGAUAGAGAGAUGUGUGAUACAAGGGACAUAACUCGUCAGUCACUGCUCUUUAUAACAUACUGGCACUGUAUGAGGCAGUAUCGGCCGUUCACAUGUGCCAUAGUCACUAGGACGUUAAUGUUCUAUAAUGAUAUUCUACUGUCUUAAUCAGUACUAGAUUAAUGCUUUUUGUACAUGGCUUAUUGUAUACAUAUUUAUGUUGAUAUCUUAUUCCUAUACUGGUCAACACGACCUUACUGUACAUUGCUCAUACGUGUAACCUACCAAUUGUAAAAUACUAGUAAUAAAACCUUUUUAUAAA